GGAGGAGUGUCCGAGUGGUUUAAGGAGCUGGUCUUGAAAACCAGUGAAUCCGAAAGGGUCCGUGGGUUCGAAUCCUACCUCCUCCG
rnacentral:tRNA from 1 species